AAGCGGAGCCGGCGGAGCUCCCAGCGCCCCGUGACCGCACAGGCGGGCACGGGCACGGCUGCGGUCGGUCCCGGAGCUCGGUCACCGCCUGUUCCACGGCCACUGACAACGCGUGAAACCGAACAGCUCCUCGGCUCGCUUCAUCCGCCAGCGCGGCCGGACUCUGUUAUGUUCGAGGCCAUGGUUCAAGGAGUGAAAUUCCAUACACCAAGUCUCAUACCAAUUAAGACUUUAACCACUAAUUGCCAAGAAUAAAAGAAAAGCAACCUGAAGUGGAAAUAAGACAGCUUACAUCACGUCCAGCUUCACCAGGAGCACCAUUUGGACCAGGAGAACCCACAGGACCAGAGGGACCACGGGCACCAGGAGGACCAGAAACACCCAGGGGACCAGGUUCACCCUAAUAUAGGAACAGUGAGAUGCCUGGAAGACCACGUUCUCCCCGAGAACCAGGCAGACCAAGAAUACCAGGAGCACCAAGAAUACCCUGAGGACCUGGGGUACCAGGAGGACCCUGUGAUGUGAAG